rnacentral:lncRNA from 1 species
GAACAGGAAUGAUCUCUAGAUCACUGAAUGAAAUUCUGUCUUUUUUUUUUUUGCUCCCAGGCCAGUCAGUGAGGUUAGGGAAAUAAUUAUCCCUGUUGGUGGCUGUGUAUAUCAACCAAGUGAAGAGGCUGAGAUCUGUAAGAAACGAAGGCUUAUGACAUUUUUUCCCCUCUGGAAUGAAAUGCACAUAUUUAUUUUGGCUUGUGCUAACCCUUGAAAGAGAGAGAGAAAAAAAACAGCUAAUCCCAUAAUCAGCAGUGGGGACUUUCAGACCUUUAAAACAGUGAUGUAAGUAAACUUUCUUUUCCCAGAUGUUGAAGUAUUGUGGCAACACGGACAUUCUGAGUACAGGUUAAGCUUCCUCUUUUCCCAACCAUUGCCUACUCACUAAAGCAAAUACCUUAAUGCAGUAUCUAAAGUACCUGUCUUGUAUGACUUCCUGCAGGAAUGCAUCUGCAGUUGUGUUGUGAUGGGGCCAAAUGAUUUCAUUUGGUAGAAGCUUGUUGUCUUGAGC